GUACCUUUUGGAAUUCUCACAUCUGGCCUAGAAAUUUCAGGGGCGUGCCCACAGGCUAAGUCGGGAUGAUUUUUUUUGUAAAAAAAAUAUCGCCCGGUACAUUUUUUCACAUCUCGGGCCUCCAUAAAAAAAACCCUAAAAUGCUUCAAAAUUGAUUUUAUUGGGAAUACUACAUAUUUAUGCAGGUACUGGGUACUGUUAGUUGAAUGUGUUUUACUGUGCAGAUAACUAUGAAUAACGCCGAAUUAGCUCAAAUGCAUUUCAUUUAUGGCCUUGCAGAUGGAAAUGGUGCAGAAGCCCGUCGAAUUUAUCAUGAACGCUUUCCCUAUAGACCAAUUCCAGCAGAAAGAACUUUCAUAAGACUCCAUGCCUGUCUGUGUGAGACUGGAUCUGUCAAUACUCAUGAUGAGCGCGUUAGUAGACCGAGGGUAAUAAUGACGCCACAACUAGAGGAAGCAAUUCUGCAAGCAGUGGAAGACGAUCCGUCAACUAGCACGCGAAGAUUAUCGUUACAGUUUAACAUCAGCCACAAAAGUGUUUGGAGGGUUUUGCACACAAAUUUACUUUAUCCAUUCCACAUUCAGCUGGUGCAAGCACUGUUGCCAACAGAUUUUCCUGCACGAUUAGAGUUUUGCCAGUGGUUUCUUAAAAAAACUGCCCAGAAUCCAAAUUUUACGGCUAAAAUUCUUUUCACAGAUGAGGCCUGUUUUUCACGGGAAGCCAUCAGAAACUUCCAUAAUACCCAUCUUUGGGACUUUGAAAAUCCCCAUGCCAUUGGAGAAGGUAGAUUUCAACAGCAGUUUUCCGUGAAUGUUUGGGCCGGAAUUAUCGGUGAUCAUCUUAUCAGACCGCACUUUCUCCCUCCUAGGCUGAAUAGUGAUACUUGUAGACAAUUUUUAGAAGAAAUAUUGCCAGAUUUAUUAGAAGACGUACCACUAGCAACAAGAAAUACCAUGUGGUUUAUGCACGACGGUGCACCUGCUCAUUUUAGUCUUGUCGCUCGAAACUAUCUAAAUGAUACUUUUGCUCAGCAAUAGAUAGGUCGGGGGGACCUCACCUAUGGCCAGCACGAUCUCCAGACCUGAAUCCUCUGGACUAUUUCUUUUGGGGAUAUCUGAAAUCGCUUGUUUAUGCGACGCCAGUUGUGGAUGAAAACGAUUUGAGAAACCGGAUUGUAAACUCUUCUAAUGUCAUACGCAACACACCAGGAAUUUUCGAACGUGUGCGCCUGUCGAUGGGAAGAAGAUUGCGUGCUUGUAUUGACAUCGUGGU